GUCUAUGGCCAUACUACCCUGAACGCACCCCAUCUCGUCUGAUCUCGGAAGCAAAGCAGGGUAGCACCUGGUUAGUAUUUGGAUGGGAGACCACCUGGGAAUAUCGGGUGCUGUAGUCA
rnacentral:rRNA from 1 species